rnacentral:rRNA from 1 species
GAUGAACGCUGGCGGCGUGCCUAAUACAUGCAAGUCGAGCGAACAGACGAGGAGCUUGCUCCUCUGACGUUAGCGGCGGACGGGUGAGUAACACGUGGAUAACCUACCUAUAGGACUGGGAUAACUUCGGGAAACCGGAGCUAAUACCGGAUAAUAUAUUGAACCGCAUGGUUCAAUAGUGAAAGACGGUUUUGCUGUCACUUAUAGAUGGAUCCGCGCCGCAUUAGCUAGUUGGUAAGGUAACGGCUUACCAAGGCAACGAUGCGUAGCCGACCUGAGAGGGUGAUCGGCCACGCUGGAACUGAGACACGGUCCAGACUCCUACGGGAGGCAGCAGUAGGGAAUCUUCCGCAAUGGGCGAAAGCCUGACGGAGCAACGCCGCGUGAGUGAUGAAGGUCUUCGGAUCGUAAAACUCUGUUAUUAGGGAAGAACAAAUGUGUAAGUAACUAUGCACGUCUUGACGGUACCUAAUCAGAAAGCCACGGCUAACUACGUG